UGCUCAUCUGUUAAGGUCGUCUUCCUCCUAAGCAGAGGUCGCGCGUUCGAAUCGCGCCGGAAUCACCA
rnacentral:tRNA from 1 species